GAUGAGUUGAGGUUAGGGGUGAAAUGCCAAUCGAACCAAGAGCUAGCUGGUUCUCCCCGAAAUGCGUUUAGGCACAGCGUUGGAUUUAUCUUGCAGGAGGUAGAGCACUGGUUUUGUGCGGGCCGAGAAUCUCGGUACCAAACAAUGUCAAACUCCGAAUGCCGUUAACGUAAGUAUCUGGCAGUGAGACUGCGAGUGAUAAGAUCCGUGGUCAAAAGGGAAACAGCCCAGAACACCGAUUAAGGUCCCAAAUUAUAUGCUAAGUGACUAAGGAGGUAAAGUUGCAUUGACAACCAGGAGGUUGGCUUAGAAGCAGCCAUCCCUUGAAAGAGUGCGUAAUAGCUCACUGGUCAAGCGACUUCGCGCCGAAAAUACGACGGGGCUAAGCAUAUAACCGAAAUCGUGUCAUAUGACUUGUCAUAUGGGUAGGGGAGCGUUCUGCUGUAGGUUGAAGUCAGACUGUAAAGACUGAUGGACGAAACAGAAGUGAGAAUGUCGGCAUGAGUAGCGAAAACAUUGGUGAGAAUCCAAUGCACCGUAAACCUAAGGUUUCCCCCGGCAGGCUCGUCCGCGGGGGGUUAGUCGGACCCUAAGCCGAGGCUGAACAGCGUAGGCGAUGGACAAUCGGUUGAUAUUCCGAUACUAUCUGAUAAUCGUUAUCAGAAGCGGAGGGACGCAAGAGGAUAAGCACGCAGUCGACUGGAAGAGACUGUAUAAGCGUGUAGCUAGGUUUGACAGGAAAAUCCGUCAAAUCGUUAAUGUGAGGCGUGAUGUGGAGAGUCUACGGACUCGAAGAUGUUGAAUCCACACUGCCGAGAAAAUCUUCGCUAUCGAGAUUAUCGGGUAUCCGUACCGUAAACCGCCACAGGUAGGUUGGUAGAGAAUACCAAGGUGCGCGAGACAACUCUCGCUAAGGAACUCGGCAAAAUCACCUCGUAACUUCGGGAGAAGAGGUACCCUGGUAGCGUGAAGCGAUUUACUCGUGAAGCGUGAUAGGGUCGCAGUGAAUAGGCCCAAGCGACUGUUUACCAAAAACACAGGUCUCUGCUAAGUCGAAAGACGAUGUAUAGGGGCUGACGCCUGCCCGGUGCCGGAAGGUUACGUGGAAGGGUUAGACAAUAGUCGAAGCUCUGAAGCUAAGCCCCGGUGAACGGCGGCCGUAACUAUAACGGUCCUAAGGUAGCGAAAUUCCUUGUCAGGUAAGUUCUGACCCGCACGAAUGGCGUAACGAUUUGGGCGCUGUCUCGGCGAGAGGCUCGGCGAAAUUGGAUUAUCCGUGAAGAUACGGAUUACGUGUACCAGGACAGAAAGACCCUAUUGAGCUUUACUGUAACUUGAAAUUGAAUUCGGGUCCUGCAUGUGCAGGAUAGGUGGGAGACUAUGAAACUAAAGCGUCAGCUUAAGCGGAGUCACCGUUGAGAUACCACUCUUGUAUGAUUUGAGUUCUAACCGUCAGCCCUCUAAUAACAGGGGACGGGACAGUUUCUGGCAGGCAGUUUGACUGGGGCGGUCGCCUCCUAAAAUGUAACGGAGGCGUUCAAAGGUUCCCUCAGGUUGGUCGGAAAUCAACCUUCGAGUGUAAAGGCAAAAGGGAGCUUGACUGCGAGACCUACAAGUCGAGCAGGUGCGAAAGCAGGACUUAGUGAUCCGGUGGUUCCGAAUGGAAGGGCCAUCGCUCAUCGGAUAAAAGUUACCAUAGGGAUAACAGGCUUAUCUCCCCCAAGAGUCCACAUCGACGGGGAGGUUUGGCACCUCGAUGUCGGCUCGUCGCAUCCUGGAGCGGUAGUACGUUCCAAGGGUUGGGCUGUUCGCCCAUUAAAGCGGCACGCGAGCUGGGUUCAGAACGUCGUGAGACAGUUCGGUCCAUAUCCGGUAUACGCGCAAGAGA
rnacentral:rRNA from 1 species